rnacentral:lncRNA from 1 species
AAAUAAAUCAGAAAAUCAUGGGAAAAAAUUUGAUCAUGUUAAUUAAAAUGAAACCCUUAUUCUCAUAAGUCAUAACAACGUUCAAAUUUGAUUAACAUGUAAAAGUAAGAGACAUUUGGGGAUUAAUUCAUUUGAUUAAUAACGGUAACACUACAAUGUGUGUAUAUAAUAAUUUGCUUUGAUGCUAAGUUUCAUUGGAUGUGGAAGCAGAAAGAGUAAAAUUGAAGUAGAAGCUGAGAAGUGCAUAGAGAAAGAAGAAAAAGAAACCUGUGGUUGGGGUCAUCAUCGGCGGAGCGUGAAGCGGUUCGGCAACGACCCAUUUCUCACCAGUAAUUCAUUCAGCGCAGCUCAGUUUGUUGCUUUGCUCUCUCUCAAUCAACCACGUUACUUUUACUUAUAUACCAGCUC